rnacentral:lncRNA from 1 species
AUGAAUGAAACUGUAUUCACUUCUUUCAUUACCCCAACAAUACUAGGCCUACCCACAGUGACCUUAAUUAUUUUAUUCCCCAUCCCCAACUGCUUAGUAAAAACUCGACUGACUUCCAUUCAACAGUGACUGUUUCAACUUGUAUUGAAACAAAUAAUAACAAUACAUAAUAUCAAGGGAUGAACCUGAUCCCUCAUAUUAAUUUCCCUUAUUAUUUUUAUUGGCUCAACUAACCUUCUAGGUCUUCUACCCCUAUUCAACUGUCAAUAAAUUUAGGAAUAGUUAUCCUUCUGUGGGCAGGAGCAGUAAUUACUGGCUUUCACUUUAAAACUAAGCCUUCCUUAGCCCACUUCCUACCACAAAGCACACCUGUCCCACUUAUCCCUAUAUUAGUAAUCAUUGAAACUAUUCGUCUUUUUAUUCAACCAAUAGCGCUAGCUGUACAGUUAACAGCCAACAUUACAGCUGGCCACUUA